rnacentral:rRNA from 1 species
UACAGGGGGGGCAAGCGUUGUUCGGAAUUACUGGGCGUAAAGGGUUUGUAGGUGGCUCGCUAAGUCAGACGUGAAAUCCCCCGGCUUAACCUGGGAACUGCGUCUGAUACUGGGAGGCUUGAGUAUGGGAGAGGGAUGUAGAAUUCCAGGUGUAGCGGUGAAAUGCGUAGAUAUCUGGAGGAAUACCGGUGGCGAAGGCGGCAUCCUGGACCAUUACUGACGCUGAGGCGCGAAAGCUAGGGGAGCAAACGGG